rnacentral:tRNA from 3 species
GGAGAGGUGGCAGAGUGGUCGAUUGCGUCCGACUUGAAAUCGGAUGAUGUGAAAGCAUCCGGGAGUUCGAAUCUCCCCUUCUCCG